CCUACGGGAGGCAGCAGUGAGGAAUAUUGGUCAAUGGGCUUACGCCUGAACCAGCCAAGUCGCGUGAAGGAUGAAGGUUUUCGGAUUGUAAACUUCUGUCGCGAGGGAUGAAGAAUGACGGUACCUCGUAAGAAAGCCCCGGCAAACUACGUGCCAGCAGCCGCGGUAAUACGUAGGGGGCGAGCGUUGUCCGGAAUGACUGGGCGUAAAGGGAGUGUAGGCGGCAUAUUAAGUUAUGUGUGAAAGCCCGCGGCUCAACCGCGGAAUUGCACAUAAAACUGGUAAGCUGGAGUGCAGGAGAGGUAAGUGGAAUUCCCGGUGUAGCGGUGGAAUGCGUAGAUAUCGGGAGGAACACCAGAGGCGAAGGCGACUUACUGGACUGUAACUGACGCUGAGGCUCGAAAGCGUGGGGAGCAAACAGGAUUAGAUACCCGGGUAGUC
rnacentral:rRNA from 1 species